rnacentral:rRNA from 1 species
AAUCUACCCAGCUCUACGGAAUAACUCAGGGAAACUUGUGCUAAUACCGUAUACGUCCGAUAGGAGAAAGAUUUAUCGGAGUUGGAUGAGCCCGCGUUGGAUUAGCUAGUUGGUGGGGUAAUGGCCUACCAAGGCGACGAUCCAUAGCUGGUCUGAGAGGAUGAUCAGCCACACUGGGACUGAGACACGGCCCAGACUCCUACGGGAGGCAGCAGUGGGGAAUAUUGGACAAUGGGCGCAAGCCUGAUCCAGCCAUGCCGCGUGAGUGAUGAAGGCCCUAGGGUUGUAAAGCUCUUUCACCGGUGAAGAUAAUGACGGUAACCGGAGAAGAAGCCCCGGCUAACUUCGUGCCAGCAGCCGCGGUAAUACGAAGGGGGCUAGCGUUGUUCGGAAUUACUGGGCGUAAAGCGCACGUAGGCGGAUUGUUAAGUUAGGGGUGAAAUCCCAGGGCUCAACCCUGGAACUGCCUCUAAUACUGGCAAUCUCGAGUUCGAGAGAGGUGAGUGGAAUUCCGAGU